rnacentral:rRNA from 1 species
GGACUACAGGGGUAUCUAAUCCUGUUCGCUCCCCACGCUUUCGCUCCUCAGCGUCAGGUAAGGCCCAGAGAACCGCCUUCGCCACCGGUGUUCCUCCCGAUAUCUGCGCAUUUCACCGCUACACCGGGAAUUCCAUUCUCCCCUACCUACCUCUAGCCUGCCCGUAUCCACUGCCGACCCGGGGUUAAGCCCCGGGCUUUCACAGCGGACGCAACAGGCCGCCUACGAGCUCUUUACGCCCAAUAAUUCCGGACAACGCUCGCGCCCUACGUGUUACCGCGGCGGCUGGCAC